rnacentral:rRNA from 1 species
AUGACCCCCCACCCCACCCCUGCCCCAACGCCGAUAAUCUCACCAGCUCGCCGCUGCUCGUCAUACUCGAUCCCGAACAGCAGCAGUUCCAGGAGCCCCCCCACGGUUGCAACAAAAAAUCCCAGCGCCCAUAGAAGCUUCCCUUGUUGCCCGUUGCAUGAACUAAAAAUAGUGGGCCGUCUUUGCCGAAAAUUGCAGCAUGUCGCCGCCGGCCACACUCCGUUGUCGGGUUAUAGCGAAUCUGGGCGCGGUUGUAGCUUUUCUGCCGCCAUUUGCAACAAAAAUCACAGCACCACGCCGUUGCAAAAAAGAUAUUAA